rnacentral:rRNA from 1 species
GUCGUGCGAGGAUAUGAGUGGAAGGUCGUCGGACCGGAAGAUCAUAUCCGAGCGGCGGACGGGUGAGUAACGCGUGAGCAACCUGCCUUCAACAGGGGGAUAACGCAUCGAAAGAUGUGCUAAUACCGCGUAAGACCACGGCAUCACAUGGUGCAGGGGUCAAAGGAGCAAUCCGGUUGAAGAUGGGCUCGCGUCCGAUUAGCCAGUUGGUGAGGUAACGGCCCACCAAAGCGACGAUCGGUAGCCGACCUGAGAGGGUGAUCGGCCACAUUGGAACUGAGACACGGUCCAGACUCCUACGGGAGGCAGCAGUGGGGAAUAUUGGGCAAUGGGCGAAAAAGCCUGACCCAGCAACGCCGCGUGAGGGAAGAAGGGUUUCGGCUCGUAAACCUCUGUCCUAAAGGGCGAAAGAAAUGACGGUACUUUAGGAGGAAGCCCCGGCUAACUACGUGCCAGCAGCUGC